rnacentral:rRNA from 1 species
CUGCGGAAGGAUCAUUACAGAGUUCAUGCCCGAAAGGGUAGACCUCCCACCCUUGUGUAUUAUUACUUUGUUGCUUUGGCGAGCUGCCUUCGGGCCUUGUAUGCUCGCCAGAGAAUACCAAAACUCUUUUUAUUAAUGUCGUCUGAGUACUAUAUAAUAGUUAAAACUUUCAACAACGGAUCUCUUGGUUCUGGCAUCGAUGAAGAACGCAGCGAAAUGCGAUAAGUAAUGUGAAUUGCAGAAUUCAGUGAAUCAUCGAAUCUUUGAACGCACAUUGCGCCCCUUGGUAUUCCGGGGGGCAUGCCUGUUCGAGCGUCAUUUCAACCCUCAAGCUUAGCUUGGUAUUGAGUCUAUGUCAGUAAUGGCAGGCUCUAAAAUCAGUGGCGGCGCCGCUGGGUCCUGAACGUAGUAAUAUCUCUCGUUACAGGUUCUCGGUGUGCUUCUGCCAAAACCCAAA